rnacentral:rRNA from 1 species
UACGUAGGAUGCAAGCGUUGUCCGGAUUUACUGGGCGUAAAGCGCGCGCAGGCGGCACAGUAAGUAAGGUGUGAAAUAUCCCUGCUCAACGGGGAGGGUGCACUUUAGACUGCUGAGCUUGAGGUCGGUAGAGGGGGGGUGGAAUUGCUGGUGUAGCGGUGAAAUGCGUAGAGAUCAGCAGGAACACCCGUGGCGAAGGCGGCCCCCUGGGCCGAUACUGACGCUGAGGAGCGAAAGCGUGGGGAGCAAACAGG